rnacentral:rRNA from 1 species
AUGGGCGAAGCCUGAUCCAGCCAUGCCGCGUGUGUGAAGAAGGUCUUCGGAUUGUAAAGCACUUUAAGUUGGGAGGAAGGGCAGUAAGUUAAUACCUUGCUAGUUUUGACGUUACCGACAGAAUAAGCACCGGCUAACUCUGUGCCAGCAGCCGCCGGGUAAUA